UGAAAUUAUAUUAAAACACAAAGUUAAAAAAAUCAGCACAGGUUCAAACAGUAAAUCCUCUUUUGCAAUCCAGAACUCAUUGUUGAGUAUGUGUUUUGGUACAUGUAAGAAGGAAUAGG
rnacentral:snoRNA from 1 species